AUCAAUGAGGGUGAGAGUCCUGUUUGUCAUGUGCAGCCUUCUGUGCACGGUGUAUAUUUGCUGAGUCACACUCCUUGGCAUUGGAAUGCAAAGUGGGUGGUAAGUUUCAUGCAAAGGUAAAUAUGCAAUUGAGACUGAUAGCGCACAAGUACCAUGAGGGACAUAUGAAAAGGACUUUGAAAAGAGAAUUAAAUGAGUUUGUAUUUGCUAAACACAAAGUAAACAGACUUGAUUUCCUCAGUGAGAUUGUAGUGCUUGCUUAACAAUGGGUUUUGGCUGCAAGUGCAAUAAUUCUUGCUUUGUGUGCCAGUUUUUAUGUGGACAUUUGAUUACCUUUGCACAUGAAUGGUAAUUUUCCUGCGGGGUGUGGAUUGCAUAUGCAUGUAAUGAUUUGCAUGUUUGUUAAAUGUGUCUGGUGUAUUUGUUUGUGUCCUUGUCCUUGAGGUUGCUUUCUCCCUUGGGCUUACAUGCCCUGGCACACACAUUCUGGCAAAAUGCUUCUGCUUGACCCGUCUUGAAACACGGACCAAGGAGUCUAACAGAUGUGCAAGUUUGAAGGUGGUAUACCUGUGUGUGUAAUGAAAGUAUUGGCUGGGAUAUUUGCACCAGCAGCCGACUAAUUAGCAGACAGAGGUUUGAGUUGGAGCAUAUCUAUUAGGACCCGAAAGAUGGUGAACUAUGCUUGAACAGAAAGAAUUCAGAGGAAACUCUGAUGGAGGUUCGUAUCGAUACUGACGUGCAAAUCGUUCGUCAUAUUUGGGUAUAGGGGCGAAAGACUAAUCGAACCAUCUAGUAGCUGGUUCCCUCCGAAGUUUCCCUCAGGAUAGCUGGAGUUGCACAGUUUUAUCAGGUAAAGCGAAUGAUUAGAGGAAUUGGGGACAGAUGUGUCCUUGACCUAUUCUCAAACUUUAAAUGGGUAAUAUGUAGUGGUUGCUUGAUGGAACUUCUAAAAUGAAUGGCAAUAUUAGGUGGGCCAUUUUUGGUAAGCAGAACUGGCGAUGAGGGAUGAACCUAAUGCUGGGUUAAGGUGC
rnacentral:rRNA from 1 species